UGAGGAAUAUUGGUCAAUGGGCGUAAGCCUGAACCAGCCAAGUAGCGUGAGGGAAGACUGCCCUAUGGGUUGUAAACCUCUUUUGUGCGGGGAUAAAGUGAGGGACGUGUCCCAUAUUGCAGGUACCGCACGAAUAAGGACCGGCUAAUUCCGUGCCAGCAGCCGCGGUAAUACGGAAGGUCCGGGCGUUAUCCGGAUUUAUUGGGUUUAAAGGGAGCGCAGGCCGUCCUUUAAGCGUGCUGUGAAAUGCCGCGGCUCAACCGUGGCACUGCAGCGCGAACUGGAGGACUUGAGUACGCACGAGGUAGGCGGAAUUCGUGGUGUAGCGGUGAAAUGCUUAGAUAUCACGAAGAACUCCGAUUGCGAAGGCAGCUUACCGGAGCGCAACUGACGCUGAGGCUCGAAAGCGCGGGUAUCGAACAGGAUUAGAUACCCUGGUAGUCCGCGCGGUAAACGAUGGAUGCCCGCCGUUGGGAUUUUGAUUUCAGCGGCCAAGCGAAAGCGUUAAGCAUCCCACCUGGGGAGUACGCCGGCAACGGUGAAACUCAAAGGAAUUGACGGGGGCCCGCACAAGCGGAGGAACAUGUGGUUUAAUUCGAUGAUACGCGAGGAACCUUACCCGGGCUUGAAUUGCAGGAGAACGAUCCAGAGAUGGUGAGGCCCUUCGGGGCUCCUGUGAAGGUGCUGCAUGGUUGUCGUCAGCUCGUGCCGUGAGGUGUCGGCUCAAGUGCCAUAACGAGCGCAACCCCUGUCCAUAGUUGCCAUCAGGUCGUGCUGGGCACUCUGUGGAGACUGCCGCCGUAAGGUGUGAGGAAGGUGGGGAUGACGUCAAAUCAGCACGGCCCUUACGUCCGGGGCUACACACGUGUUACAAUGGGGCAUACAGCGAGUUGGAUGUGCGCAAGUACGUCCGGAUCAAUAAAGUGCCUCUCAGUUCGGACUGGGGUCUGCAACCCGACCCCACGAAGCUGGAUUCGCUAGUAAUCGCGCAUCAGCCAUGGCGCGGUGAAUACGUUCCC
rnacentral:rRNA from 1 species